GCGCAAGUGGUGGAAUGGUAGACACGCUGGUUUUAGGCACCAGUGGCGAAAGCCGUGGAGGUUCGAGUCCUCUCUUGCGUACCA
rnacentral:tRNA from 1 species